GCAGGAUGUGUACAUGUACCCCAGAGCCCAAAGUACAAUUAAGAAAAAAGGAAAAAUGUAAAGACAUUACCUAAUUUACUUAGUAACACUUACCUUUCCUCUUCAUAUAAUCACCACCAAUUAUUGAUUGUGUAUUAUAUACUUUAAUUUAAGCUGACUUUUUAAUAAAAUGUUUAAAAAGUUUAGGUUCAUGGGUACAUGUGAAGGUUUGUUAAUAGGUAAAAUUGUGUCAUUGGGGUUUGUUGUAUGGAUUAUUUCAUCACCCAGGUACUAAGCCUAGUCCCCAAUAGUUAUUUUUUUCUGAUCCUCUCCCUCUUCCCACCCUCCAACCUCUAAUAGGCCCCAUUGUCUAUUGUUCUCCUCUAUGUCUCCAUGUCUUCUUAUCAUUUACUU